GAUCACGCACCCAAGGAACAGAAUUUUAGAGUGGAGGGGCUUCUCCCGUGGGGCCACUCUGUGGACUAUUGUCACCAGGCCAGUAUUAGGAAGCAAUACUGGGAUAGCCUUCCUCUCCCUUCUUCUCGUGUCUUUGAAGUAAGCUACGAGUUUAGUUUGAGUUUGUAUUAUGUAACUACAUAACCUUGAAGAGAUGUUUUCAGAUAGAGAUAUUUGGAACAGAGAGUAUGUACACAUAUUUGCUAGAAAAACAUUUAAUAAUAUGUAUACACACAUGCAUACAAUAUGUACACAAAUACCUAUUGCUAUAUAUUUUGUAUAUAUGUUAUAUGUACAUAUAUAAUCUAUAGGAAUACAUUUAGUUUAACAUUCUUACUCAUUUGUUUCUUUCCAGAUCUGCAAACCCAGUAUCGGUGCUACAUGAAUCAGAUGAUCAAAGGCCUUUAAACCAAGAUCUUUCCUGCCAAAGACCCCACCAGGAGAAUAAUAUCAAAUUCUGACUCUUAGAGAUCUCUAUGAAGACCUACCAUUUUCUUCCAUGGAAGCUGGAUGAAGAAUUCCCUUGGCAUUUAUCUAGAGACUUAAAACUACCAGCAUAUGUCAAAGGGCCCCCUUUCCUCUAAGUAAACUCUGAUUACCCUGAUUCUACAAAGCUAAUGUUACUUCU
rnacentral:lncRNA from 1 species